rnacentral:piRNA from 1 species
UAAUUGAUCCUUCAGGAUUUAUAAUUGU